rnacentral:rRNA from 1 species
AUUGAACGCUGGCGGCAUGCUUUACACAUGCAAGUCGGACGGCAGCACAGAGAAGCUUGCUUCUUGGGUGGCGAGUGGCGAACGGGUGAGUAAUAUAUCGGAACGUACCGAGCAGUGGGGGAUAACUAAUCGAAAGAUUAGCUAAUACCGCAUAUUUUCUGAGGAAGAAAGCAGGGGACCAUUUGGCCUUGCGCUGUUUGAGCGGCCGAUAUCUGAUUAGCUAGUUGGUGGGGUAAAGGCCUACCAAGGCGACGAUCAGUAGCGGGUCUGAGAGGAUGAUCCGCCACACUGGGACUGAGACACGGCCCAGACUCCUACGGGAGGCAGCAGUGGGGAAUUUUGGACAAUGGGCGCAAGCCUGAUCCAGCCAUGCCGCGUGUCUGAAGAAGGCCUUCGGGUUGUAAAGGACUUUUGUCAGGGAAGAAAAGGAUAGGGUUAAUACCCCUGUCUGAUGACGUACCUGAAGAAUAAGC